rnacentral:rRNA from 1 species
AUUGAACGCUGGCGGCAUGCCUUACACAUGCAAGUCGAACGGGCUUUUGGGGCUUGCUCCAAAAGUUAGUGGCGAACGGGUGAGUAAUAUAUCGGAACGUGCCCUGGAGUGGGGGACAACCAGUCGAAAGAUUGGCUAAUACCGCAUACGAUCCAAGGAUGAAAGUGGGGGACAUUCGGGCCCCAUGCUCCUGGAGCGGCCGAUAUCGGAUUAGCUAGUUGGUGGGGUAAGGCCCACCAAGGCGACGAUCAGUAGCUGGUCUGAGAGGAUGAUCAGCCACACUGGGACUGAGACACGGCCCAGACUCCUACGGGAGGCAGCAGUGGGGAAUUUUGGACAAUGGGGGCAACCCUGAUCCAGCCAUUCCGCGUGAGUGAAGAAGGCCUUCGGGUUGUAAAGCUCUUUCGGCAGGAACGAAACGGUGGCCCCUAAUACGGGUUGCUAAUGACGGUACCUGAAGAAGAAGCACCGGCUAACUACGUGCCAGCCGCCGCAGUAA